rnacentral:rRNA from 1 species
CAUGAUUACAACACAAUGUUGAUGCACUGAAUCCCAUUAGAACUCCGCAGUUAAGUGCUCUCAGGCUAGAGUAGUACUGGAAUGGGUGAUCGCUCGGGAAGUCCUAGUGUUUUACAUGC